GCCAAACCCGCCCCCCAAUCGCUGGGACUAGAGCAGGAACCCAUCCCCACCCCCAGUUCUAGGAGGGGGCGCUGGCGGGCGCGGCUCCGGGGCAGCUGCUCCGAGAGCGCCGGGGCGAGCCGGGCGAGCGGGUCCCGGGCGGGGGGCAGGUGCGGGGAGGGGCAGGGCGCGCGGCGCGAGCGCGGCCAGGUGAGGGCGGCGGGGCCCGGCGGGGCGGGGAGGGGGGGGGGCGGGGCGGGGCGGGGGGGGCCGCGUCGGCCCCGCGCCUGCACACACUCACCGGCGCCGGCGGGCUCGCCUCUCGCCGCCGCUGCUCUCGCGGCCGCCAGCCGCUCUUCCCCCUCCUCCCCCUCCUCCUCCUCCCCCUCCUCCCCUCCUCCUCCUCCCGCGCCGCGGCCGUCGCCGUCGCCCGGGCCGGGCGCGCUCCCCUUCCGCUUCCGGGAGCCGGAGCGCCGGGGCCGGCGGGGUGGGGGUGCGCCCGCCCGCCCUCCCGCACGCCGCCGCCGCCGCCGCCGCCUCUCCGCUCCCGGGGGCCGCGAUGGGAGCCGCCGAGGGCCGAAAGAGCCGAAAUCGCGCCGCGGGCAGGAGGAGAGGCGCCCGGGCCCAGCCGCGUGCGGCGCGGCCCCGCCGUCCCCGGAGCGCUCGCACCUGACGCCCCUCGGCGCCUCCGCCCUCCGCGCCGCACCUUCCCGGUCGUGCCCCGGUCGUGCCCCGGCUGUGCCCCGGCCGUGCCCCGCUGCCCUCCUCCCCGCCCCCACCCCCACCCCCACCUGGGGAGGGCGGAGGCGCCUCCCCGUCAGGCUCGGGCCCCUGCUCCCCCAGGGCGUCCUGGAUGCCCCGGCGCCUUGCCUCAGAGCGGCCCGCAGCAGCGGCGUCCUCCGCGCGCUGGGUACAGGGCGCUGGAUUCCAGUGCGUGGUCGUGCCCAUUUCAGACCCUCGGAGGAGCAAGAGCCAGAGUUGGCGCAGCCACCUAGGGAGUUGCCUAUUCCUGUGGGCAACCUCAGCCCGCACUCGGACAAGCUUUACUAG
rnacentral:lncRNA from 1 species